rnacentral:rRNA from 1 species
CCUACGGGAGGCAGCAGUAAGGAAUAUUGGACAAUGCUCGCAAGAGUGAUCCAGCCAUGCCGCGUGCAGGAAGACGGCCCUAUGGGUUGUAAACUGCUUUUGAACUGGAGAAAACCCCCCUUCGUGAAGGGGGCUGAUAGUAUAGUUAGAAUAAGCAUCGGCUAACUUCGUGCCAGCAGCCGCGGUAAGACGAAGGAUGCAAGCGUUAUCCGGAUUCAUUGGGUUUAAAGGGAGCGUAGGUGGAUUUGUAAGUCAGUGGUGAAAGCCGGCAGCUUAACUGUCGAACUGCCAUUGAUACUGCGGAUCUUGAGUAUGGUUGCUGUGGGCGGAAUAUGACAUGUAGAGGUGAAAUUCAUAGAGAUGUCAUAGAACACCGAUUGCGAAGGCAGCUCACAAAGCCAUUACUGACACUGAGGCUCGAAAGUGCGGGGAUCAAACAGGAUUAGAUACCCUGGUAGUCCGCACUGUAAACGAUGAUUACUCGCUGCUAGGAGGUAACUUUUAGUGGCUAAGCGAAAGCGAUAAGUAAUCCACCUGGGGAGUACGCCGGCAACGGUGAAACUCAAAUGAAUUGACGG